rnacentral:rRNA from 1 species
UACGAAGGGGGCUAGCGUUGCUCGGAAUCACUGGGCGUAAAGGGUGCGUAGGCGGGUCUUUAAGUCAGGGGUGAAAUCCUGGAGCUCAACUCCAGAACUGCCUUUGAUACUGGGAGUCUUGAGUUCGGGAGAGGUGAGUGGAACUGCGAGUGUAGAGGUGAAAUUCGUAGAUAUUCGCAAGAACACCAGUGGCGAAGGCGGCUCACUGGCCCGGAACUGACGCUGAGGUGCGAAAGCGUGGGGAGCAAACAGG